AACUUCCCACUCGUCGCCCAGUGUAAAAAGGCGCAAGUCACGUGAACUCAGCCGUUCCCAAACUGGGGAACAAAGACCUCACAUCCAAACAGCCUCCAGUCACUCAUUCUAAAUUCACUCCAAGAAUUUCAGCACUGGCUGCAAUGCGACAUGUCUAAUGCCUGAAAGUAAAACAGCCCAGCAGUCUACAGAAGAGCGAAUGAGGGAAGACUGAAGCUCUACAGAGCUGCAGGUCCAUCAUCGUGGGCCUCCAAGCAUGGAAUCCAGAAGGACCGCACUUAAUCCGAGGCAAAGGAUGCUCGAGUUGCUUCUGGAACGAGGCUUUCAUUAUCUAGAAAUACUCCAAAAUUAGUCCUUAGUCUCCACAAGAGCUAAUGUUACACUUCUAAACGCAAAUGGACGAAAACUCUAGGGG